rnacentral:rRNA from 1 species
UUCGCCCUUAGAGUUUGAUCCUGGCUCAGGACGAACGCUGGCGGCACGCUUAACACAUGCAAGUCGAACGAGAGAAGAGAAGCUUGCUUUUCUGAUCUAGUGGCGGACGGGUGAGUAACACGUGAGCAAUCUGCCUUUCAGAGGGGGAUACCGAUUGGAAACGAUCGUUAAUACCGCAUAACAUAAUUGAACCGCAUGAUUUGAUUAUCAAAGAUUUAUCGCUGAAAGAUGAGCUCGCGUCUGAUUAGCUAGUUGGUAAGGUAACGGCUUACCAAGGCGACGAUCAGUAGCCGGACUGAGAGGUUGAUCGGCCACAUUGGGACUGAGACACGGCCCAGACUCCUACGGGAGGCAGCAGUGGGGAAUAUUGCACAAUGGAGGAAACUCUGAUGCAGCGAUGCCGCGUGAGGGAAGAAGGUUUUAGGAUUGUAAACCUCUGUCUUUGGGGACGAAAAAUGACGGUACCCAAGGAGGAAGCUCCGGCUAACUACGUGCCAGCAGCCGCGGUAAUACGUAGGGAGCGAGCGUUGUCCGGAAUUACUGGGUGUAAAGGGAGCGUAGGCGGGAUCGCAAGUCAGAUGUGAAAACUAUGGGCUUAACCCAUAAACUGCAUUUGAAACUGUGGUUCUUGAGUGAAGUAGAGGUAAGCGGAAUUCCUAGUGUAGCGGUGAAAUGCGUAGAUAUUAGGAGGAACAUCAGUGGCGAAGGCGGCUUACUGGGCUUUAACUGACGCUGAGGCUCGAAAGCGUGGGGAGCAAACAGGAUUAGAUACCCUGGUAGUCCACGCCGUAAACGAUGAUUACUAGGUGUGGGGGGACUGACCCCUUCCGUGCCGCAGCAAACGCAAUAAGUAAUCCACCUGGGGAGUACGACCGCGAGGUUGAAACUCAAAGGAAUUGACGGGGGCCCGCACAAGCAGUGGAGUAUGUGGAUUAAUUCGAAGCAACGCGAAGAACCUUACCAGGUCUUGACAUCGUAUGCAUAGCUCAGAGAUGAGUGAAAUCUCUUCGGAGACAUAUAGACAGGUGGUGCAUGGUUGUCGUCAGCUCGUGUCGUGAGAUGUUGGGUUAAGUCCCGCAACGAGCGCAACCCUUACUGUUAGUUGCUACGCAAGAGCACUCUAGCAGGACUGCCGUUGACAAAACGGAGGAAGGUGGGGAUGACGUCAAAUCAUCAUGCCCCUUAUGACCUGGGCCUCACACGUACUACAAUGGCUGUCAACAGAGGGAUGCAAAGCCGCGAGGUGGAGCGAACCCCUAAAAGCAGUCUUAGUUCGGAUUGUAGGCUGCAACCCGCCUACAUGAAGUCGGAAUUGCUAGUAAUCGCAGAUCAGCAUGCUGCGGUGAAUACGUUCCCGGGCCUUGUACUCACCGCCCGUCA